rnacentral:rRNA from 1 species
UACGUAGGGUGCAAGCGUUGUCCGGAAUCAUUGGGCGUAAAGAGCGUGUAGGCGGCCCGGUAAGUCCGCUGUAAAAGUCAAAGGCUCAACCUUUGAAUGUCAGUGGAUACUGCCGGGCUAGAGUCCGGAAGAGGCGAGUGGAAUUCCUGGUGUAGCGGUGAAAUGCGCAGAUAUCAGGAGGAACACCAAUGGCGAAGGCAGCUCGCUGGGACGGUACUGACGCUGAGACGCGAAAGCGUGGGGAGCAAACAGG